GAUGAACGCUAGCGGCAGGCUUAACACAUGCAAGUCGAGGGGUAUCACGCUUUCGGGCGUGAGAGACCGGCGCACGGGUGCGUAACGCGUAUGCAAUCUACCUUUUGCAGAGGGAUAGCCCAGAGAAAUUUGGAUUAAUACCUCAUAGUAUAGAACAAUCGCAUGAUUGAGCUAUUAAAGUCACAACGGCAAAAGAUGAGCAUGCGUCCCAUUAGCUUGUUGGUAAGGUAACGGCUCACCAAGCCAACGAUCUGUAGCUGGUCUGAGAGGACGACCAGCCACACUGGAACUGAGACACGGUCCAGACUCCUACGGGAGGCAGCAGUGGGGAAUUUUCCGCAAUGGCGAAAGCCUGACGGAGCAAUACCGCGUGAGGGAAGAA
rnacentral:rRNA from 1 species